GAUAAGGUUCCGAAAUGGAUCCGAGGUUUUGAGCGUCCCUUUGCCUUUUGGAGAGGAGAGAUUUUUACUGGGAAGUUAUCCUAGUUACAGAGAGAAGAGAUUCAGAGAGGGAGAAGAGAGAGGAAGAGGCUGAGAGUUGCAGGAGCAGCGAUAGGCAGAGGAAGGCCUGCAGGUUCUCAUCCUUUUACCUUGCUUUUCUCCCUUUCAGUUCUUUCGUCUUCUUCGCUUUUGCGCUCUAAAACUAGCCUGUGAAACUCCAUUUCUGAUACAUGUUACAUUUUAGAGCUUCCGUUUUUGUUUGGAAAGAAACCCUAAUUCUGAUGCAUUUGUACUUUGCAAGCUUCAAGAAUCCUAAUCAAUGGGUUCUCAUUGUGCCCUACUGCCUGUUUGCCAACAGGCUAGGAUUUGUGUAUAACUCGUUUUGUAUCAAUUACGUUUGUGAAUAACCUAUCAGUGCGAUUAUUUUCUUUUUUUGGUUAAUAUGAUGAAGUCUGGUUAUGGUAGAGCUUUUAUGAAAAGGAGAAAGCAUGGCAGAAAGUUUGGAUCUUUAAAUUGGGGAAAAGGCCAAUUUAAUGGCACUAGAUCGAUUGAUUCUUGUAACUUCUGUAAACAACUUCAAAGUAAUUCGAGUGGCCAGUGUUUCUAUGGCCAAACUCUGCUUCAAAAUUACACGAAUUUCAAGAAAAGUGGGCUUUUGAAAAGGGUUAUGUUCUUCUGGUCUGGACAAUGGAAUGACUUCUCUGAAGAGGCAACAGAGACUCUCAAAGAGGCUUUCUCUGAAGGGAAAGCCUCUGUACAUACAGAGAUUGAUGGCUCUUCAUAUCUUGUGGACUUCUUCAGAAUGUUACAAGUAGACUUAAGUGCAGGUUGCCACCGUUCGAUUUCAUGGAUUGAUGUUAAUGAGAAUUGUUUCUUUCCAAAGUUAUUCUUGGGUGAUGAUAUUUUUGAUGAUGCUGAAGAUCCUUCUGGAUUUGAAUUCGAAAUUGAGAUUCAGAUUGAUGAGUCGAAGGGUUCUAAGGUUGAUAAUGGCGUAAAGGGGUCUAAGGUUGACCAUGAGGUAACAUCUUUGGAAGAUGAGAAUAUGUCUGAGGUUUCAAAAGCUAGAGAGAAAAACUAUGCAUUGGUUUCACAGUGUAAUGCUGAAAGUCCAAGAUUUAAGGAAGCUGAGAGAAAUUCUAAGCCAAUUAAUGAUGUUACUGAGCAAAAGGUGGAUUCUUUGGAAAAGUUAGAUAGAUUUCAGUGUAAGUCAGCAGUAGAAGAACUGCCGAUUUAUGGAUCUGAUAAAAAAAUGGCUGUUAUGAAAGAGUUGGUUAGUGCUUCCCGGGUUAGAGAUGCAAAUAGUGAAGAGAGAGAUGGUGGGGCUUUGGCAAGAGUAGGCAAAGUUGAAGAAUUUCAAGACAAUCAUGUCAAUCAGAAAGAAGAGAAGACAGAUUGCAUAGAUAUUAUGGCUGGUUUGGAGAAGAAGUUUCAAGCUGAUGGGGUUAAUUUGAAAAAGCGGAUUUUUGGCCCUGGCUCUUUGGAAUCUACAAAACCCGAGAAAGUCAUGGAUUUUAAAGGAUUUGUAAUGGAACAAAGUAAUGAGAUGCCUAGCUCUUGUGUUGUUUCAAGGAAAAGGCUAUGUGUAAAGAAAGAAACCUGUACCCUCCCUUUAGAUGUUGCCCCAUUUUCCAGGAUUGAACCUUCCAUUGAAGAGCAUGAUGCAACCAUCUCUGCCAAGGGAGCAACAAAUGCUAUAACUAAUGACAUUCAGAAUUGCAAUUUAACUGCUAUAGAUAUACAAACUGAUGGUAGCAGCUUGACCGCUACCCGUACUUCUCAACCAACCAGUUUAGCCUCCGAGGUUUUGCCUACUAUCUGUGCCCCAAUACUGAUGUCAAAGCCUGAUGAUUAUAUUUCUAACCAGCUUCCUCGAUUUGCUUCAUUAGGUACAAAAUUGGUGAAGCUGAAUGAUGGCAACAAAGCAUAUGUGUCAAUUAAGAGGCUGUUCCUUUCGGGCUUCCAAAAAGAAAUGAUUGGGAUGAUAAGUGUUGAUGCUAUAUAUGGUUGUUCAUAUGCAAGUGCAGUGGGGCUUGCUCGGUUGCAAACCUUUCAAAGACACAUUGAGAUGACUAAGAACUCUUUUGUCAGUGCAAAUGUUAUGUAUGCUUGGCAUGGGACGUCAGCAAAAGGUGUUGAAAGCAUAAUUUUGCAUGGUUUCGGUCGGCCUGUGGCAGGUUAUGGCUCAGAUGCGUAUGGCAUUGGCAUCUAUCUCACACCAGAAGGUUACCCCCACUUAAGUGUGCUCUCUGCAGAGCCUGAUGAUAACGGUUUACACCACCUGGUGUUGUGCCGUGUUAUCAUGGGAAACAUGGAACAAGUUCAAUGUGGGUCUGCUCAGUUUCACCCCAGAAAUGUUGAUUUUGAUAGUGGUGUUGAAGAUCUUUGUAAUCGUAGACGCUCUAUCAUUUGGAGCACUCAUAUGAACACACACAUUCUUCCUGUGUAUGUUGUGAGCAUUAAGGUGCCCGAUCCCCUCAAAGAGGUCUGGAGGAAUGAAAAAUCAGUGCAAGAGGCAUGUGGUGUUUCUGAAAAGAAUAGACCAGCUUCAAGGUUUACGCCGCAAACAGCAAGAUCUGAUAAGCCUUCUCAUAUGUUAACUGAGGCAAAUGGACAGAGCCCCAAAACGAGUCCACUCUUGGGUGGGACAUCCAAAAUGUCAUUUCCAACAUUAUUUUCUGUUAUUGGAAAAUAUCUUUCUCCAUCCACUGUUGGAACGUUAGAGCAUUUAUAUAAUGAAUUCAAGGCUGGAAAAAUUGGAAAAGAUACUCUUAUAGGGAAAGUAAGGUCAAUUGCUGGGGAUAAAGUGUUGAUUGCAGCAAUCAAUAGCAUUCGUAGCCAGUGAACUACCAAGAAUGAUAAAAGCUUCACAUUUUGGUCUCAACUUGGGACAUCUCCCUUAAAAAAAUCGAAAGGCUUGAUCACACUCUUCCAAGAACAUAAAUGGGAAUUUCAACUCAGGCUGAGAUGAAGAUCUGCUGAGCAAUUUGCUUAUGGCUGGCUAUUUUUAUUGGUUGUUCAGGCAAAGGUCUGACCCAACAAUGGGUUCGUCAUCUUGCGUCAAUGGGUGGCUUUGUUGCAUUCGCUAUUUUGAUACUUGUAUCUUAUCGUACCUUUCUAAAAGAAAGACAUUAGCAGCUCUAGUAGUAGCAGUAGUAGUUCACCUGCCCCAAUACAACAAAUUAUGCAUGGAUCUUUAUUUCCUAAUGAACUGCCCGGUUUCUGCA